rnacentral:rRNA from 1 species
AGUCAAGAGGAGCUUGCUUUUCUUGACUUAGUGGCGAACGGGUGAGUAACGCGUGGGUAACCUGCCUUGUACUGGGGGACAACAGUUGGAAACGACUGCUAAUACCGCAUAAGCGCACAGCUUCGCAUGAAGCAGUGUGAAAAACUCCGGUGGUGUGAGAUGGACCCGCGUCUGAUUAGCCAGUUGGCGGGGUAACGGCCCACCAAAGCGACGAUCAGUAGCCGGCCUGAGAGGGUGAACGGCCACAUUGGGACUGAGAUACGGCCCAGACUCC